rnacentral:rRNA from 1 species
UACGUAGGCAGCGAGCGUUGUUCGGAGUUACUGGGCGUAAAGAGUGCGUAGGCGGUUUUCUAAGUUUGGUGUGAAAUCUCCCGGCUUAACUGGGAGGGUGCGCCGAAAACUGGAAGGCUUGAGUAUGGGAGAGGUAAGCGGAAUUCCUGGUGUAGCGGUGAAAUGCGUAGAUAUCAGGAAGAACACCUAUGGCGAAGGCAGCUCUCUGGGACGGUACUGACGCUGAGACGCGAAAGCGUGGGGAGCGAACAGG